rnacentral:rRNA from 1 species
GACGAACGCUGGCGGCGUGCCUAAUACAUGCAAGUAGAACGCUGAAGGAGGAGCUUGCUUCUCUGGAUGAGUUGCGAACGGGUGAGUAACGCGUAGGUAACCUGCCUGGUAGCGGGGGAUAACUAUUGGAAACGAUAGCUAAUACCGCAUAAGAGUAGAUGUUGCAUGACAUUUGCUUAAAAGGUGCAAUUGCAUCACUACCAGAUGGACCUGCGUUGUAUUAGCUAGUUGGUGGGGUAACGGCUCACCAAGGCGACGAUACAUAGCCGACCUGAGAGGGUGAUCGGCCACACUGGGACUGAGACACGGCCCAGACUCCUACGGGAGGCAGCAGUAGGGAAUCUUCGGCAAUGGACGGAAGUCUGACCGAGCAACGCCGCGUGAGUGAAGAAGGUUUUCGGAUCGUAAAGCUCUGUUGUAAGAGAAGAACGAGUGUGAGAGUGGAAAGUUCACACUGUGACGGUAUCUUACCAGAAAGGGACGGCUAACUACGUGCCAGCAGCCGCGGUAAUACGUAGGUGGCAAGCGUUAUCCGGAUUUAUUGGGCGUAAAGAGAGUGCAGGCGGUUUUCUAAGUCUGAUGUGAAAGCCUUCGGCUUAACCGGAGAAGUGCAUCGGAAACUGGAUAACUUGAGUGCAGAAGAGGGUAGUGGAACUCCAUGUGUAGCGGUGGAAUGCGUAGAUAUAUGGAAGAACACCAGUGGCGAAGGCGGGCUACCUGGUCUGCAACUGACGCUGAGACUCGAAAGCAUGGGUAGCGAACAGG